rnacentral:tRNA from 1 species
GGCUUGGUGGUGUAGUGGUCAGCACGCUCGACGCGUAUUCGAGAGGUCUGUGGUUCGAGUCCCGGUGAGGGCA